GGACUACUCGGGUUUCUAAUCCCGUUCGCUACCCUGGCUUUCGUUCCUCAGCGUCAGAAAACUCCCAGUGAGCCGCCUUCGCCUCCGGUAUUCCAGAUGAUAUCAACGCAUUUCACCGCUCCACCAUCUGUUCUGCUCACCUCUAGGUUCCUCAAGCACUGCAGUUUAGAGCGCAAUUCCUCGGUUGAGCCGAGGGCUUUCACACCCUACUUGCAAUGCCGCCUACGAACUCUUUAAGCCCAGUAAUUCCGAAUAACGUUUGGGCCUCUCGUAUUACCGCGGCUGCUGGCAC
rnacentral:rRNA from 1 species